AUUGAACGCUGGCGGCAGGCCUAACACAUGCAAGUCGAGCGAGCGGCGGACGGGUGAGUAAUGUCUGGGAAACUGCCUGAUGGAGGGGGAUAACUACUGGAAACGGUAGCUAAUACCGCAUACCAUCAGAUGUGCCCAGAUGGGGUUAGCUAGGAGGGGGGGUAACGGCUCACCUAGGCGACGAUCCCUAGCUGGUCUGAGAGGAGGACCAGCCACACUGGGACUGAGACACGGUCCAGACUCCUACGGGAGGCAGCAUUGGGGAAUAUUGCACAAUGGGCGCAAGCCUGAUGCAGCCAUGCCGCGUGUGUGAAGAAGGCCUUCGGGUUGUAAAGCACUUUCAUCGGAGAGGCGUUACCCGCAGAGGAAGCACCGGCUAACUCCGUGCCAGCAGCCGCGGUAAUAC
rnacentral:rRNA from 1 species